rnacentral:rRNA from 1 species
ACCGAUAGUGAACCAGUACCGUGAGGGAAAGGUGAAAAGCACCCCGGAAGGGGAGUGAAAUAGAACCUGAAACCGUGUGCUUACAAGUAGUCAGAGCCCGUUAAUGGGUGAUGGCGUGCCUUUUGUAGAAUGAACCGGCGAGUUACGAUUUGAUGCAAGGUUAAGCAGUAAAUGUGGAGCCGUAGCGAAAGCGAGUCUGAAUAGGGCGUUUAGUAUUUGGUCGUAGACCCGAAACCAGGUGAUCUACCCUUGGUCAGGUUGAAGUUCAGGUAACACUGAAUGGAGGACCGAACCGACUUACGUUGAAAAGUGAGCGGAUGAACUGAGGGUAGCGGAGAAAUUCCAAUCGAACCUGGAGAUAGCUGGUUCUCUCCGAAAUAGCUUUAGGGCUAGCCUCAAGUGAUGAUUAUUGGAGGUAGAGCACUGUUUGGACGAGGGGCCCCUCUCGGGUUACCGAAUUCAGACAAACUCCGAAUGCCAAUUAAUUUAACUUGGGAGUCAGAACAUGGGUGAUAAGGUCCGUGUUCGAAAGGGAAACAGCCCAGACCACCAGCUAAGGUCCCAAAAUAUAUGUUAAGUGGAAAAGGAUGUGGCGUUGCCCAGACAACUAGGAUGUUGGCUUAGAAGCAGCCAUCAUUUAAAGAGUGCGUAAUAGCUCACUAGUCGAGUGACACUGCGCCGAAAAUGUACCGGGGCUAAACAUAUUACCGAAGCUGUGGAUUGUCCUUUGGACAAUGGUAGGAGAGCGUUCUAAGGGCGUUGAAGCAUGAUCGUAAGGACAUGUGGAGCGCUUAGAAGUGAGAAUGCCGGUGUGAGUAGCGAAAGACGGGUGAGAAUCCCGUCCACCGAUUGACUAAGGUUUCCAGAGGAAGGCUCGUCCGCUCUGGGUUAGUCGGGUCCUAAGCUGAGGCCGACAGGCGUAGGCGAUGGAUAACAGGUUGAUAUUCCUGUACCACCUAUAAUCGUUUUAAUCGAUGGGGGGAC